UACGUAGGGUGCAAGCGUUAAUCGGAAUACUGGGCGUAAAGCGUGCGCAGGCGGUGAUGUAAGACAGUUGUGAAAUCCCCGGGCUCAACCUGGGAACUGCAUCUGUGACUGCAUCGCUGGAGUACGGUAGAGGGGGAUGGAAUUCCGCGUGUAGCAGUGAAAUGCGUAGAUAUGCGGAGGAACACCGAUGGCGAAGGCAAUCCCCUGGACCUGUACUGACGCUCAUGCACGAAAGCGUGGGGAGCAACAGG
rnacentral:rRNA from 1 species